UUGACCGUGAAGGCCCAGCGGUCAUUCGACUCCACCACGGCCUGGUCGCCGAAGUGGUCGCCGUCGCCAAUCACAUCCAGCGUCAGCUCGUCGCCGUACUUGCCCUGGCCCAGCUUCUUCGCCUUGCCGUGGGCCAUCAGCACCACGUGCUCGGCCGGAGCCCCCGCGGAGACGAUGGCGUCGCCCGCCUUGAACUCCUUCUGCACGAAGCGGGUCGCCAGAGCCCGGAACACCGAGUCGUCGCCCUCGAAGCCGCGCAGCAGCGGCAGCUUCGCGAGCUCCUGGGGCGGCACCUCCACCUUGGCGCCGAUGUUGCUGAAGUUGAGCCGGUCGUCCCCGGCCGCGUAGCUCAGGCGGCGGUUGACGCGGUACACGCCGCCGGACACCUGCACCCACGGGAGCAUGCGCAUCAGCCAGCGAGGCGUGAUGCCCUGCAUCUGCGGCAGCGACUUGGUCGUCGUCGCCAGCUGCCGGGCGCCCGCCGUGCUCAAGCUCGUCGG
rnacentral:antisense_RNA from 1 species